rnacentral:rRNA from 1 species
AGAGUUUGAUCAUGGCUCAGAUUGAACGCUGGCGGAAUGCUUUACACAUGCAAGUCGAACGGCAGCACGGGGCAACCUGGUGGCGAGUGGCGAACGGGUGAGUAAUACAUCGGAACGUGCCCAAUCGUGGGGGAUAACGUAGCGAAAGUUACGCUAAUACCGCAUACGAUCUACGGAUGAAAGCGGGGGAUCGCAAGACCUCGCGCGAAUGGAGCGGCCGAUGUCAGAUUAGGUAGUUGGUGGGGUAAAGGCUCACCAAGCCAACGAUCUGUAGCUGGUCUGAGAGGACGACCAGCCACACUGGAACUGAGACACGGUCCAGACUCCUACGGGAGGCAGCAGUGGGGAAUUUUGGACAAUGGGGCAACCCUGAUCCAGCCAUUCCGCGUGAGUGAAGAAGGCCUUCGGGUUGUAAAGCUCUUUCAGCAGGAACGAAACGGUGGCCACUAAUACUGGCUACUAAUGACGGUACCUGAAGAAGAAGCACCGGCUAACUACGUG